GAUAAACGCUGGCGGCGUGCAUAACACAUGCAAGUCGAACGAAGUGGCGAACGGGUGAGUAACACGUGAGUAACCUGCCUUACACAAGGGGAUAGCCUUUGGAAACGAAGAAUAAUACCCUAUAGUGUAAGAUGGACUUGCGUCUGAUUAGCUAGUUGGUGAGAUAAAAGCCCACCAAGGCGACGAUCAGUAGCCGGCGUGAGAGCGUGUACGGCCACAUUGGGACUGCGACACGGCCCAAACUCUACGGGAGGCAGCAGUGGGGAAUUUUGCACAAUGGGGGAAACCCUGAUGCAGCGACGCCGCGUGAUUUAGAAGGCCUUCGGGUUGUAAACCUCUUCGCUAUCGAACACUAUAGGGUGGGUUGAGGGUAGGUGGAGAAGAAGCGCCGGCUAACUACGUGCCAGCAGCCGCGGUAAUAC
rnacentral:rRNA from 1 species